rnacentral:rRNA from 1 species
UGAGUUUGAUCUUGGUUCAUGACGAACGCUGGCGGCGUGCCUAAUACAUGCAAGUCGAGCGGACAGAAGGGAGCUUGCUCCCGGAUGUUAGCGGCGGACGGGUGAGUAACACGUGGGUAACCUGCCUGUAAGACUGGGAUAACUCCGGGAAACCGGAGCUAAUACCGGAUAGUUCCUUGAACCGCAUGGUUCAAGGAUGAAAGACGGUUUCGGCUGUCACUUACAGAUGGACCCGCGGCGCAUUAGCUAGUUGGUGGGGUAAUGGCUCACCAAGGCGACGAUGCGUAGCCGACCUGAGAGGGUGAUCGGCCACACUGGGACUGAGACACGGCCCAGACUCCUACGGGAGGCAGCAGUAGGGAAUCUUCCGCAAUGGACGAAAGUCUGACGGAGCAACGCCGCGUGAGUGAUGAAGGUUUUCGGAUCGUAAAGCUCUGUUGUUAGGGAAGAACAAGUGCGAGAGUAACUGCUCGCACCUUGACGGUACCUAACCAGAAAGCCACGGCUAACUACGUGCCAGCAGCCGCGGUAAUACGUAGGUGGCAAGCGUUGUCCGGAAUUAUUGGGCGUAAAGGGCUCGCAGGCGGUUUCUUAAGUCUGAUGUGAAAGCCCCCGGCUCAACCGGGGAGGGUCAUUGGAAACUGGGAAACUAGAGAGCAGAAGAGGAGAGUGGAAUUCCACGUGUAGCGGUGAAAUGCGUAGAGAUGUGGAGGAACACCAGUGGCGAAGGCGACUCUCUGGUCUGUAACUGACGCUGAGGAGCGAAAGCGUGGGGAGCGAACAGGAUUAGAUACCCUGGUAGUCCACGCCGUAAACGAUGAGUGCUAAGUGUUAGGGGGUUUCCGCCCCUUAGUGCUGCAGCUAACGCAUUAAGCACUCCGCCUGGGGAGUACGGUCGCAAGACUGAAACUCAAAGGAAUUGACGGGGGCCCGCACAAGCGGUGGAGCAUGUGGUUUAAUUCGAAGCAACGCGAAGAACCUUACCAGGUCUUGACAUCCUCUGACAACCCUAGAGAUAGGGCUUUCCCUUCGGGGACAGAGUGACAGGUGGUGCAUGGUUGUCGUCAGCUCGUGUCGUGAGAUGUUGGGUUAAGUCCCGCAACGAGCGCAACCCUUGAUCUUAGUUGCCAGCAUUUAGUUGGGCACUCUAAGGUGACUGCCGGUGACAAACCGGAGGAAGGUGGGGAUGACGUCAAAUCAUCAUGCCCCUUAUGACCUGGGCUACACACGUGCUACAAUGGACAGAACAAAGGGCUGCAAGACCGCAAGGUUUAGCCAAUCCCAUAAAUCUGUUCUCAGUUCGGAUCGCAGUCUGCAACUCGACUGCGUGAAGCUGGAAUCGCUAGUAAUCGCGGAUCAGCAUGCCGCGGUGAAUACGUUCCCGGGCCUUGUACACACCGCCCGUCACACCACGAGAGUUUGCAACACCCGAAGUCGGUGAGGUAACCUUUAUGGAGCCAGCCGCCGAAGGUGGGGCAGAUGAUUGGGGUGAAGUCGUAACAAGGUAGCC